UUUUUGUUUUUUUGUUUUCGUUUUUUUUAAAACCGAUUGCCAUGAUGAAAUGCAAUGUAUCUAAUGUUAAAUGACCUAAAAAUGAAUGCAUGCAUGAGGUGUAAAGCGUAUGCUUCCAGGAAAAAUGAAGGGUAAUUUUUGGGGUAUUACAGAUUGGUACAAGGCUUUGGAUCAUGGAGUUUUUGAAUCUCCAAACAGUGAGAUUCAAACUCAAAUUUCAAAUGAAAUUU
rnacentral:lncRNA from 1 species